rnacentral:rRNA from 1 species
AUUGAACGCUGGCGGCAUGCUUUACACAUGCAAGUCGAACGGCAGCGCAGUCUUCGGCCUGGCGGAGAGUUGCCGACGGGUGGGUGAUUCAUCUGAACGUGCCCAUUUUUUUGUUCUAGCGCGGCGACAGCGGGAUUCAUACCCCAUACGACCUGAGGGUGAAAGCGUGAGACCGAAAGUCCUCGCGCUCUUUCGGCGUUCGAUGUCCGAUUAGCUAGUUGGUGGGGUAAAGGGUUACCAAGGCGACGAUCCGUAGCUGGUCUGAGAGGAAGACUAGCCACACUGGGACUGAGACACGGCCCAGACUCCUACGGGAGGCAGCAGUGGGGAAUAUUGGACAAUGGGGGCAAUCCUGAUCCAGCCAUGCCGCGUGUGUGAAGAAGGCCUUCGGGUUGUAAAACGCUUUUGUUCGGGAAGAAAACCUCUGGGCUAAUACCCCGGUGGGAUGACGGUACCGGAAGAAUAAGCACCGGCUAACUACGUG